rnacentral:rRNA from 1 species
CAGCAGCCGCGGGAAUACGAAGGGUGCAAGCGUUAAUCGGAAUUACUGGGCGUAAAGCGCGCGUAGGUGGUUCAUUAAGUUGGAUGUGAAAGCCCUGGGCUCAACCUGGGAACUGCAUCCAAAACUGGUGAGCUAGAGUACGGUAGAGGGUAGUGGAAUUUCCUGUGUAGCGGUGAAAUGCGUAGAUAUAGGAAGGAACACCAGUGGCGAAGGCGACUACCUGGACUGAUACUGACACUGAGGUGCGAAAGCGUGGGGAGCAAAUAGGAUUAGAUACCCCAGUAGUCCCUGUCUCUUAUAC